GUGUGUGUGUGUGUGUGUGUGUGUGUGUGUGUGUGUGUGUGUGUGCGUGUGUGUGUAGGAGGAGGCAAGUGAACACAUUAUGCCACAGACUCAUGAGCCCUGGGUCUCCCAAAGACGUGCCGGAGUGGGGGGAGGAGAGACGGGGGCAUCUCAGGGCAGCCUGAGAGCGAGGCCUCAGACGGGCCUGGAGCUGACCAGUGAGACACCAGAUGAGUGUGGACGCCCCGAAAGGUCAGCAGCGAUGACUCCCCCAGACGCCAGCGCUGGCGUGGACGCCCCGAGCUCCAGAGUCACACACCAUCAACAGCGCGGACGCCUCUAGUGUCCACUCUCAGCCACCGUUAAGAGCACCAACGCCUUCAGGCACGAGACUCAGUCGCUUUAAACAGCAUCAACCCCCAUAGGCAGAAGAGUCAUCCACCCUAAAUUAUGACACACACACACACACACACAAACACACACAAGCACACACAUACAUAAUCACACAUAGCAUACAUGCAGAAGCACACACAGUCACACACACUCAUAUCCAUACAGCGCUAAUAGUCAUCUGCUCUAAUCAGUCAGACCCCCUUUAGCGGUAAGAGUCACCCUCCCUUGGCAGCAUCUCUCGUGGAAACGAGGGGGUGGGAGGGAUGGGGGGGUUAGUGUGGGUGGCCGAGGAGGAAAGAGAGGUCUGGGGCGCUCAUUAUCAGGUCAAGUCAAGUCCUAUUUAUCCAUAAAGCACAUUUAAACACACCAGGAGUUGGAGCAAAGUGCUUUCCAGUCUAAUUUCAAAUAUGGCUUACUACGUGCAUAUUAAGUGUGUUGUUUUGGAACAACUUAAGUAUAUUAAGUGUUCUUUUAGAAUGCUCAAGCCCAGUGUUAAGUUACUUGCUAUAGAUUGUAAUAUACUUAGUUUUGUUCAAAUGGAACAACGUUAAGUAUCUCUAGUGUAAUUUAAACGAACUUAUUUAAAUUUCAUUCAAAAUGUAUUUGAAGUGAAAUUGAAAUAAGUAAAUCUUUUUGUGUGAACAUAUACUUAAAAAAUUGAACAAUACAUGUAAUUUUGAUUUUGAUUAAUGUUUAGAAAAUAUACUACAAUGUUGCUAGAAAUAUGCUUAUGUGUUAGCAUAGUUCUUAAAAGCAUAACAAAGCAUAUUUUCAUUACAAGUAUACUUCUCAGUAGCAUGUUUAAUUAAGUGCACUUAAAGCAAGGGUUUGAGAAAUACAAAUGUACUGCAAACAU